CACUGGAAGAACUGAGCCACAGCAGUAUUAACAUUCUUGCUAUAAGGGAAACCAGAAGAAAUCAAGAAUCUGUGGCAAAGUAGCAGGGAAUUUAUGUUGAGGAGCCCCCAAAGAGCAGUAGAGAGACACAUGAUAGAGAACUACUUUGGAAAUCACUGCAGCAUCAAAUCUGGGAACCCCAACUGGACAAAAUGCAAAGGAACCCAAAGGGAAAAUCGGGACUGAAUCCCACCAUUGCACCCUCAGAGAAUGGAUUCAGAGGAAUAAGUUUGCUAAAUGGCAGGAUCCUCACAAACUGUUUAACUGCUGCUAUUUAUGUUGGACACCAGUGGAGCAGAGGAGAGUCUGGCAACAAGGCAACAAAGUGGUGGAGCAUCAUUUGAAGAGGAGCG